GUAGGUGAACCUGCGGAUGGAUCAUUAUCACGUAUCCACGUUUAUCAACCAUUGUGAACCGUUCUUACCUUUGAGAAGAAUUUUGUAAGUGAUUGGGGAGAGAGUGUGAGAGAUUUUAUUUCUCUAUCUUUCUUUCUUCUUCUCAAAGUGUAUUUAAUCACUUCAUUUUUUCAUUAACACUUUAACCAAAACUAUUAAACUCAUGUCUUAUCUUAUUUUAUACUCUUCACGGAGAUAAAAUUCUAUUACGAAACAUAAGAACAACUCUUAGCAACGGAUAUCUUGGUUCUC
rnacentral:misc_RNA from 1 species